rnacentral:rRNA from 1 species
UACGAAGGAUGCGAGCGUUAUCCGGAUUUAUUGGAUUUAAAGGGUGCGUAGGCGGACUGUCAAGUCAGCGGUAAAAUUGAGAGGCUCAACCUCUUCCCGCCGUUGAAACUGGUGGUCUUGAGUGGAUGAGAAGUACGCGGAAUGCGUGGUGUAGCGGUGAAAUGCAUAGAUAUCACGCAGAACUCCGAUUGCGAAGGCAGCGUACCGGCAUCCAACUGACGCUGAGGCACGAAAGCGUGGGGAUCAAACAGG